AGAGGAAGUAAAAGUCGUAACAAGGUUUCCGUAGGUGAACCUGCGGAAGGAUCAUUAUCGUACAACCGAGGUGCGAGGGCUGUCGCUGACCCUUUCAAAGGUCGUGCACGCCCGAGCGCCUCUCAUACAUCCAUCUCACCCCUUUGUGCAUCACCGCGUGGGCCCUCCUUACGGGGGGCCUGCGUUAUCACAUGAAACUUUUGACGUGUAGAAUGUAUAUUUUUUUCUUUGCGAUCUUAACGCAAUCAAUACAACUUUCAACAACGGAUCUCUUGGCUCUCGCAUCGAUGAAGAACGCAGCGAAAUGCGAUACGUAAUGUGAAUUGCAGAAUUCAGUGAAUCAUCGAAUCUUUGAACGCACCUUGCGCCCCUUGGCAUUCCGAGGGGCACACCCGUUUGAGUGUCGUGAAACAUUCAAAAGCCUUUUCCUUUUAUGAAAGAGGUUUUUGGAAUUGGGGGUUUUCAUGCUCGUCCUCGCUUUCGAGGAUGGGCUCCCCUUAAAUGAAUUAGUGGGAUCAGCCUUGUCGAUCCUUGACGUGAUAAGACAUUUCUACGUUUUGGAUUCGACACCGUCCGUCCGCUUCUAAUCGUCCCAUGGACAAAUUUUAUGAAACCUUGACCUCAAAUCGGGUGAGACUACCCGCUGAACUUAAGCAUAUCAUA
rnacentral:rRNA from 1 species